rnacentral:rRNA from 1 species
AUACGUAGGGUGCGAGCGUUGUCCGGAAUUACUGGGCGUAAAGAGCUCGUAGGUGGUUUGUCGCGUCGUCUGUGAAAUUCCGGGGCUUAACUCCGGGCGUGCAGGCGAUACGGGCAUAACUUGAGUACUGUAGGGGAGACUGGAAUUCCUGGUGUAGCGGUGAAAUGCGCAGAUAUCAGGAGGAACACCGGUGGCGAAGGCGGGUCUCUGGGCAGUAACUGACGCUGAGGAGCGAAAGCAUGGGUAGCGAACAGGAUUAGAUACCCUGGUAGUCCAUGCCGUAAACGGUGGGCGCUAGGUGUAGGGGUCUUCCACGACUUCUGUGCCGUAGCUAACGCAUUAAGCGCCCCGCCUGGGGAGCACGGCCGCAAGGCUAAAACUCAAAUGAAUUGACGGGG